AGAGUUUGAUCCUGGCUCAGGAUGAACGCUAGCUACAGGCUUAACACAUGCAAGUCGAGGGGCAGCAUUUUAGUUUGCUUGCAAACUAAAGAUGGCGACCGGCGCACGGGUGAGUAACACGUAUCCAACCUGCCGAUAACUCGGGGAUAGCCUUUCGAAAGAAAGAUUAAUAUCCGAUAGUAUAUUAAAACCGCAUGGUUUUACUAUUAAAGAAUUUCGGUUAUCGAUGGGGAUGCGUUCCAUUAGUUUGUUGGCGGGGUAACGGCCCACCAAGACUACGAUGGAUAGGGGUUCUGAGAGGAAGGUCCCCCACAUUGGAACUGAGACACGGUCCAAACUCCUACGGGAGGCAGCAGUGAGGAAUAUUGGUCAAUGGACGAGAGUCUGAACCAGCCAAGUAGCGUGAAGGAUGACUGCCCUAUGGGUUGUAAACUUCUUUUAUAUGGGAAUAAAGUAUUCCACGUGUGGGAUUUUGUAUGUACCAUAUGAAUAAGGAUCGGCUAACUCCGUGCCAGCAGCCGCGGUAAUACGGAGGAUCCGAGCGUUAUCCGGAUUUAUUGGGUUUAAAGGGAGCGUAGGUGGAUUGUUAAGUCAGUUGUGAAAGUUUGCGGCUCAACCGUAAAAUUGCAGUUGAAACUGGCAGUCUUGAGUACAGUAGAGGUGGGCGGAAUUCGUGGUGUAGCGGUGAAAUGCUUAGAUAUCACGAAGAACUCCGAUUGCGAAGGCAGCUCACUAGACUGCAACUGACACUGAUGCUCGAAAGUGUGGGUAUCAAACAGGAUUAGAUACCCUGGUAGUCCACACAGUAAACGAUGAAUACUCGCUGUUUGCGAUAUACAGUAAGCGGCCAAGCGAAAGCAUUAAGUAUUCCACCUGGGGAGUACGCCGGCAACGGUGAAACUCAAAGGAAU
rnacentral:rRNA from 1 species